AAAGCCCUAACUGUCAGGCUUAAGGCGUUCGGAAGGAGAAAAAGAGAUCCCGCCAUUCCCGAUUCUCCGCAGCUGCUGCUACUCUUCUACACGGCCGGCGUCCUACGAUCCUCAUUCUCCCAUUUUCUGGCUUGCUCGCGCGAUCGAUCGAUCUGGAAAUGGCGUGGUGCGAAGGAGCGGAGGCGCCGCCCCUUCUUCUCAUCGCCUCUUGGUGAGCUCAUUAUCCCUCUUGCACCAUUUCAUUUGCCCUUGCUAUGAAUGCCCUCCUGUUCUCGUGUCCAGGAUCCUUUCCUUUUUCUUGAAUCAUACGGAUCCUAGCAAGGAGAAAGAGAAGUACGUCUCUCUCUCUCUCUCUCUCUCUCUCUCUCUCUCUCUCUCUCUCUCUCUCUCUGGCUCGCUCGCGCGAUCGAUCGAUCUGGAAAUGGCGUGGUGCGAAGGAGCGGAUGCGCCGCCCCGUCUUCUAUCGCCUCUGAGUUGCUAUUUCGACGGGCCAACGGAAGACAGGUAGUAAUGACUUCCCUUGAAUCAACAUGUCUUGGAUAUCCAUGUUUUGCUUCUUGUUUCUUGAGCUAAAACGAUAUAAUUUGUGUUCCUAUGCAUUUUGUUGUUAAUGAUUAUGGGGAUGUAUUCUAUGCUAGUCUUUUUGUCUGCUCAUAUUUUAAGCAUUAUUUGCCCUCGGUUUGAUGGUUCAA